GGCGGUAUAGCCAAGUGGUAAGGCAAAGGUCUGCAAAACCUUUAUCCCCAUGUUCGAUUCUGGGUACCGCCU
rnacentral:tRNA from 1 species